rnacentral:rRNA from 1 species
UACGUAGGGGGCAAGCGUUGUCCGGAAUCAUUGGGUGUAAAGAGCGCGUAGGCGGCCCAGUAAGUCCGCUCUGAAAGUCAGAGGCUCAACCUCUGAAUGCGGGUGGAUACUGCUGGGCUAGAGUCCGGAAGAGGCGAGUGGAAUUCCUGGUGUAGCGGUGAAAUGCGCAGAUAUCAGGAGGAACACCGGUGGCGAAGGCGGUUCUCUGGGCAUUACCUGACGCUGAGGAGCGAAAGUGUGGGGAGCGAACAGG